UUCGUGUUUAAUAUCUAUUUACCUACUUUGACUGCCCAAGCGUCUGUGUUUUUAAGAAUUUGUUCCCUUCAGCUGCGCUGGUAGCUUCGCUAUUGUUAUUUUCACAUUACCUUUUUCCUGGCGAGAGAUCUGCGGGGAUUGCAUCAAAACACCUCAAAUUUCACAUUUCAGGUCUUCAUCAAGUGUGCCCCCAGAACAGGACAUGUACGUUAAGUCUUGUUUCCAUAAGUGCAACUUCAGUUUAUAAAGCUUCAAGUGAUUUAACUUGUUAUGCAUCUGUGCUUUUGUGCAGCUCCAUUCUGCCAUCUCCACUGUCAUCCAACAGCCCUUCCAGUCCAAGACUGGUGGCCAGCUGUAUAUCAAGCCCGGCUGCUACGCUUUUUCAAGAAAUGUACUCUGACAGCCCCAAUGACUUUACUGAUGAAGACGAUUUGAGGCUCCCCAGCACAACAGAAGGUGCGGCAUCUGCUGCUGGCUCUUCAGGGUAAGUUAGUGUUCACUUUCUUGUGUCGGAAUAUGACACCAUAACAAUUUUUUGAGGCAGGUUGUCAACUUCACAAGCAGGAGCCGCUGCAUCAGAUCCAGGGUAAGAAAGUGGUGCGCACUUUCUUUGAUUGGAAGCAGACAUACUUUUCCAGUGCAUUUCUUGAGUGUAAUGAUGUGGCCUGUCCUGCAGGUCUGCCAAAAGGCGAGCAUCCAAUGGACCUUCCUCUCGGUACUGGCAUGGGUCACAUUUCCUGCAGUAUUUGAAUGAUAAUCAGUGAUUGCAAGAAAACAUUGUGCUGAUACAGAUAUAUGCAGCACUAAAAGAAGGCAGUCUGACAGCUUUGACGAUGCGGUGAAAGAUGUCUUGGGCAGCUGCUCAGCUACGCUGUUAGAUCUAAAAAAAAAAUGAAAUGCCUGCACCGACAGAUGACAGUCAAGAGGCACCAAACUGGAUAGCUGCUAAGCUGAGGAUGCUACCACACAAAAAAAGAUGCGAGGUAACAUUCAAAAUCCACAAGCUGCUGUAUGAAGCCGAAAUGGAGCAGUAUGAAUAAAUGAAAUGUAAAGUGCAAGCAAUCGAUAAUAUUUUUCUAUGAAAGCAAGCAAUUUCGGCUUUCUUUUGACGUGAUAGUAUUUGUGCAUGCUGACAAAUAGUUGCCUGUUAUCGGAAAUUGCCUGCCAUCCUGCACGGGUCACGACACUUUCCUGUCAUGGCACCUGGCCGUCACUCAUGAAGUAGGAUGCCAGUCUAUCCCCUACUUCCAAUGCAGCCCUGUAACACAGAAAUGCACGAGAUGUUCAACCUUUUCCUUCAGCUUAUUCUGCCUGUCUGUCUGAGGUCACAGUUCUAAUGGGCGUGUUUUACUCCUCGUCGUUAGCUGUACCCAGUGACUUUGUUGAAAACAUGCACUACGCAUGCAUUUUUGCACUGUUACAAUUCUGAGCGCAAACUCUAAUAAACAAGAUCUUAUGUCAUGUGUUAAAUGAUCAAGUUAAAUGUUUUGAAGGUUUCGCUGUUUGUUAUUGAUGAGCUUCAAUUGCUUUAAUGUAAAUAAAGCAGGAAAUGUAAACUAUUACUGAUUUAAUGCCGUCAUGGAAAUAAUAAUUACCGAGCAGAGUGGUACCCCUGGUCUGUCCAUCCAGGAAAGGCAUUACUGUCGUUCCUCCAUGCCCCAUUUGUGACAUUUCCCUCCCAGUCUUCAUGGUCAACAAAUCCAGGAGGGUUGUACGUUGUUCUUGAGAACAGCGAAUCUUUCAUUAGAAAAUCGUGGAGCGCCACACAUGCCCUUACAAUGUUCUCUGUGGUUUCUUCUGACGCUCGAAAGGGUCUCUUCAGUAUUCACCACCUACUAGCCAGGAUACCAAAACUGUUUUCUAUGAGCCUCCUUGCACGACUCAGCCGGUAAUUAAACACUGCCCUCUUCAAGUACUCGCUGUACUGGCUGAUCCUGUGGGCAUGAAGAGCUAGAAAAAACAAAACGUCAGGGCAUUACAAUUACAGCAAACAUGUAUAUACUUAGAUGAAAAAUGCAAUGGCACUAAUUUCAAAUCAUUGAAAUAACUGGCAGCUGUGCGCACCCGCUGAAUACAACUUGAAAAGAAAAAAACUCUUCCUACAUCUAAAGUCCUCUCGGUGCCUCUUUCCAGUGCGGCCAAUUCGAAAUGCUACAUAAACUGACAUUAUAAGGGUUUUUAUUCAUUUUUUGCAUGCUUAAGUUGUGCUAAAGAAAUGCUACAUAGGGCCACCUUUGGCUGCAUUGCACAACUUGUGAUUUUGAAUGAAUGAAUGAAUAUUGUUUAACGGCGCAAGGGCCAUGUAUGGCCAAAGAGCGCAAUGCCGUUGGUUGGUUGAUUGAUGUAUUAUUGCACAAGGGCCAAAUAUGGCCAAAGAGUGCCAUGUCCGUGGUAAUGA